AUGGAUGCAGCAACUGGUAGAAGAACAAAGAGAAAAACAGUGAGGAUUGUAUUGCCAAUUUUAAGCUCUAGUGUUCUGGUACUCAUCUGCGUCUUCCUUGCAUGGUUAAAAUUCAAAGGCAAGAACAAAAAAUGGAGAAAUCGAAAUAAGAUAAGUUUGGAUGGUGUGAAUACCUCUAAUGAAUUGGGAGAAGAAAACCCUCCCCAUGAUCAGGAAUUUCCAUUUGUAAGGUUAGAAGAAAUUGUGCUGGCAACCGACAAUUUCUCUGAAACAUGCAUGUUUGGACAAGGAGGCUUUGGUAAAGUAUACAAGGAAUGGUAG
rnacentral:rRNA from 1 species